GCAGAUUUGGCCGAGUGGUUUAAGGCGCUAGCUUUAGGCGCUAGUAUCGAGAGAUGCGCGAGUUCGAACCUCGCAGUCUGCA